GGAGGCUGGUGGGACAGGGCGGGGGCGGUGGGGCCUCCCCUAGCCUUCCCUCCCCGUCUCCUUCACUGUCCUUCCAGCAGGCACAGGAAGGUGAGGCAAGGUGUUUCCAGCCGGCAGGAUGGAGGACGAGGAAGGCCCUGAGUAUGGCAAACCUGACUUUGUGCUUUUGGACCAAGUGACCAUGGAGGACUUCAUGAGGAACCUGCAGCUCAGGUUCGAGAAGGGCCGCAUCUACACCUACAUCGGUGAGGUGCUGGUGUCCGUGAACCCCUACCAGGAGCUGCCCCUGUAUGGGCCUGAGGCCAUCGCCAGGUACCAGGGCCGUGAGCUCUAUGAGCGGCCACCCCAUCUCUAUGCUGUGGCCAACGCCGCCUACAAGGCAAUGAAGCACCGGUCCAGGGACACCUGCAUCGUCAUCUCAGGGGAGAGUGGGGCAGGGAAGACAGAAGCCAGUAAGCACAUCAUGCAGUACAUCGCUGCUGUCACCAAUCCAAGCCAGAGGGCUGAGGUGGAGAGGGUCAAGGACGUGCUGCUCAAGUCCACCUGUGUGCUGGAGGCCUUUGGCAAUGCCCGCACCAACCGCAAUCACAACUCCAGCCGCUUUGGCAAGUACAUGGACAUCAACUUUGACUUCAAGGGGGACCCGAUCGGAGGACACAUCCACAGCUACCUACUGGAGAAGUCUCGGGUCCUCAAGCAGCACAUGGGUGAAAGAAACUUCCACGCCUUCUACCAAGGGGACAUCCUGGGAGCUUAUUUGUCUAAAGGAUGCCUGUGUCCUCUAGUUGCUGAGAGGCAGUGAGGACAAGCAGCUGCAUGAACUGCACUUGGAGAGAAACCCUGCUGUAUACAAUUUCACACGCCAGGGAGCAGGACUCAACAUGACUGUGCACAGUGCCUUGGACAGUGAUGAGCAGAGCCACCAGGCAGUGACCGAGGCCAUGAGGGUCAUCGGCUUCAGUCCUAAAGAGGUGGAGUCUGUGCAUCGCAUCCUGGCUGCCAUAUUGCACCUGGGAAACAUCGAGUUUGUGGAGACGGAGGAGGGUGGGCUGCAGAAGGAGGGCCUGGCAGUGGCCGAGGAGGCACUGGUGGACCAUGUGGCUGAGCUGACGGCCACACCCCGGGACCUCGUGCUCCGCUCCCUGCUGGCUCGCACAGUUGCCUCGGGAGGCAGGGAACUCAUAGAGAAGGGCCACACUGCAGCUGAGGCCAGCUAUGCCCGGGAUGCCUGUGCCAAGGCAGUGUACCAGCGGCUGUUUGAGUGGGUGGUGAACAGGAUCAACAGUGUCAUGGAACCCCGCGGCCGGGAUCCUCGGCGUGAUGGCAAGGACACAGUCAUUGGCGUGCUGGACAUCUAUGGCUUCGAGGUGUUUCCCGUCAACAGUUUCGAGCAGUUCUGCAUCAACUACUGCAACGAGAAGCUGCAGCAGCUAUUCAUCCAGCUCAUCCUGAAGCAGGAACAGGAAGAGUACGAGCGCGAGGGCAUCACCUGGCAGAGCGUUGAGUAUUUCAACAACGCCACCAUUGUGGAUCUGGUGGAGCGGCCCCACCGUGGCAUCCUGGCCAUGCUGGACGAGGCCUGCAGCUCUGCUGGCACCAUCACUGACCGAAUCUUCCUGCAGACCCUGGACACGCACCACCGCCAUCACCUACACUACACCAGCCGCCAGCUCUGCCCCACAGACAAGACCAUGGAGUUUGGCCGAGACUUCCGGAUCAAGCACUAUGCAGGGGACGUCACGUACUCCGUGGAAGGCUUCAUCGACAAGAACAGAGAUUUCCUCUUCCAGGACUUCAAGCGGCUGCUGUACAACAGCACGGACCCCACUCUACGGGCCAUGUGGCCGGACGGGCAGCAGGACAUCACAGAGGUGACCAAGCGCCCCCUGACGGCUGGCACACUCUUCAAGAACUCCAUGGUGGCCCUGGUGGAGAACCUUGCCUCCAAGGAGCCCUUCUACGUCCGCUGCAUCAAGCCCAAUGAGGACAAGGUAGCUGGGAAGCUGGAUGAGAACCACUGUCGCCACCAGGUCGCAUACCUGGGGCUGCUGGAGAACGUGAGGGUCCGCAGGGCUGGCUUCGCUUCCCGCCAGCCCUACUCUCGAUUCCUGCUCAGGUACUGGCACCUGACACCCAUCACUCCAUGGGCCAUAGUCCCUGUGUGGAGUCCAAGGGGUAGGAGCAGAGGGUCCCCAAACAGCACGUCGCAAACAUCGAUACAAGCAGGAACCAGCACGCUGCUGGCCUCAAGACACCAAAAUAUCUGGGAGGACAUGUGUGUGAGCACAUGCAUGUGGGGACAUACAGGUGGGAACAUGGGUAUGAGGGCUGUGUGAGGACAUGUAUGUGAGGACAUGUGUAUGGGAAGACACAUGUGCACAGGUGUCAUAAGUGCUCCAGGAACACACUCUGUAUCCCUGCCAUCUCCCCAGGUGUGGGGUGGGCAGGGUGGGCUCCAUCAUCUCUCCCCCAGGCCUGGGCCACACUGCCCUGUCCUGUGGUGACAGGUACAAGAUGACCUGUGAAUACACAUGGCCCAACCACCUGCUGGGCUCCGACAAGGCAGCCGUGAGCGCUCUCCUGGAGCAGCACGGGCUGCAGGGGGAUGUGGCCUUUGGCCACAGCAAGCUGUUCAUCCGCUCGCCCCGGACACUGGUCACACUGGAGCAGAGCCGAGCCCGCCUCAUCCCCAUCAUUGUGCUGCUAUUGCAGAAGGCAUGGCGGGGCACCUUGGCGAGGUGGCGCUGCCGGAGGCUGAGGGCUAUCUACACCAUCAUGCGCUGGUUCCGGAGACACAAGGUGCGGGCUCACCUGGCUGAGCUGCAGCGGCGAUUCCAGGCUGCAAGGCAGCCGCCACUCUACGGGCGUGACCUUGUGUGGCCGCUGCCCCCUGCUGUGCUGCAACCCUUCCAGGACACCUGCCACGCACUCUUCUGCAGGUGGCGGGCCCGGCAGCUGGUGAAGAACAUCCCCCCUUCAGACAUGCCCCAGAUCAAGGCCAAGGUGGCUGCCAUGGGGGCCCUGCAAGGGCUUCGUCAGGACUGGGGCUGCCGACGGGCCUGGGCCCGAGACUACCUGUCCUCUGCCACUGACAAUCCCACAGCAUCAAGCCUGUUUGCUCAGCGACUAAAGACACUUCGGGACAAAGAUGGCUUCCGGGCUGUGCUCUUUUCAAGCCAUGUCCGCAAGGUGAACCGCUUCCACAAGAUCCGGAACCGGGCCCUCCUGCUCACAGACCAGCACCUCUACAAGCUGGACCCUGACCGGCAGUACCGGGUGAUGCGGGCCGUGCCCCUUGAGGCGGUGACGGGGCUGAGCGUGACCAGCGGAGGAGACCAGCUGGUGGUGCUGCACGCCCGCGGCCAGGACGACCUCGUGGUGUGCCUGCACCGCUCCCGGCCGCCAUUGGACAACCGCGUUGGGGAGCUGGUGGGCGUUUUGGCCGCACACUGCCAGGGGUGAGUGCAGGCUGGGGGGUGGCGGGCACGAAGCCCCGGCCGCGUGGCCGCCCUGACCCCUCCUCCUGCCGCAGGGAGGGCCGCACCCUGGAGGUUCGCGUCUCCGACUGCAUCCCACUAAGCCAUCGCGGGGUCCGGCGCCUCAUCUCCGUGGAGCCCAGGCCGGAGCAGCCAGAGCCCGAUUUCCGCUGCGCUCGCGGCUCCUUCACCCUGCUCUGGCCCAGCCGCUGAGCGCCCGCACCCGCCGCACCCCGAGGCCGCCAAUUGUCCGCCCCGCCAGCGCUGCAAAUAAACCUUCUGAGUCACCC
rnacentral:sRNA from 1 species